UUAACUGUGCUUUAGGUGAAGGUUUACAGAGCAAAUUAUUUUCUCAUUAAACAAUACACAUACUGUUUUGUGACAUUGGUUGCCAAUCCGGUGACAUGUCAGCCCUCUCUCCUUCUCGACCUUGGGUUCCCCAUUUCCAUUCAUCCAGCUUUCCUAUCCCCUCCUGCCUUCUUGUCCUUGUGUCUGGGUUGGUGUGCCCAUUUAAUUUUGUAUACAUGGUUGAACUACAUGUGUUAUUGUUAGUUUUAUAGACCUGUCUAAUCUUUGGCUGAAAUGUGAACCUCAGGAGUGACCUCAGUACUGGGUUAAAAGGGUGUCUGGGGGUCAUACUGUCAGGGUUUUUCUCCUUUCCUCUUUACCCAGCUUAAAUUCCAAGGUCCUGCUAUAAUCACUCCCUUGCCUCACCCUCAGUUCUUUACGUCCUCUUGCUUCAUUGUAUUCCCUCGACAAAACCACAAUCCUGGUUAAAUCCAGCUCUGCCUGCACCUCCUUGAGAAAAACACACAAUUAUGGCAACUGAUCUUGCUUUAAAUAUAUGAGCAUGAAACUCAUGUAGAACCUGAUGCUGCCUGGUAAUCGUACUAUUUUUCCCUGAGCAAAUAUCUUUUCCACUCCUAUUUCAGUCUUUCCUCUGGAACCUGUAAUACUUCUUCCUCUAUUCUCACUCUGGUGAGACUCAAGGUCAGCUGAUGACCUUGUUUCUUACUUCACCAAGAAAAUUAAAGCAAAUAGGAAAGAAGUUCCAUAGACAUCUACCAACACAUCUGUCCAACUACCAACACCUGCAUCCAUAUGCUGCCCUUCCUUUCCAGUUGUUACUGUGGACUGUGACCAUAUGUCUAUCUUAUCGUCAGUUUCUUCACUUGUGUAUUAGAUCUCAUCCCCUCUCACCAACUCAAGGCCAUUGCUGCAACAACUCUCCCUGCUCUCUUCAGAAUCAUUUUUCUAACUAUAGGAUUGUUCUCCACAGCGUAGAAACACACUGUUACUUUUCCUCUUUUCUAGAAUCACCUGUGGUGCCAACUGCUGCCCUUUCCAGCAAAACUCUUUGAAAAGUUAUCCAUACUUGCAGUUUCCAAUUUCUUGCCUCUUAGGCUCUUUUAAACCCACUCGAAUCAUGCCUUCACUCCUACCACCCCACUAAAAUGACUCUUGCUAAGAUAAUCAGUGGCAUCUACAUUGUUAAAUGCACAUAUCAAUUAUCGGCCGUUACAUUCUUUGAUACAGUUGGUUUCUCCUUGAUAUAUCUUCUUCACGUGGUUUUUCAGAAAGGAAACCAUGUGGUGUAGUGGGUAAGAGCUAUAGCUGCUAACCAAAAGGUUGUGAGUUUGAAUCCACCAGGCACUCCUAGGAAACUAUGGAGCAGUUCUACUGUGUCCUAUAGGGUCUCUAGGAGUUGGAAUACCACAUUCUUGGUUGCGUUCCUUCCUCCUUGGCCACUUCUCAGUAUUUGCUGAAUUCUUUCUCUUCUACCUGGCCUCUUAACAUUGGGAUGCCCCAAAGCUUGAUUUUUGUUUUUUUUUCUUGGUGAUGAGUGUCAUGACUUUAAAUACCAUCUGUAUGCUCACAACUCCCAAAUUGCUAUUUCUAGUUCAGACUUCUCUCCUAAGCUUCGAAUUGUAUAUCCAACUGCUUACUUGUCAUCUCCCUUGGAGGUCCAGUAGACGUGUCAAAUUUGUCCAAAACUGAACUUCUGAUAUUACCUCUAAACCUAUUCCACCUAUAACUUUUUUCAUUUUAGUUGAUGACAACUCCAUCUUUUCGGUUCCUAGGCCAAAAACCUUGGCUUCAUCCUUGUUUCACCACUUUCUUUUACAGCUCACAUUCUAUCAAAGUUUUACUUUUAAAAUAUAUCCAGAAUUUAAUCACCUUACACCACCUCCACUGCUACCACCAUGGUCAAACCGCCAUUCUCUCUCUCCAGGAUUGUUUCAGUAGCUCCUAAUUGGUCUCCUUGCUUCCACUCUUAGCCACUGCCCUUUGCCCGCCCUUCCACCCCCCAGUUGUUUCUCACCACAGCAGUCAGAGUGAACCUUUCGAAAUGUUAAGUUAGAUCAUGUCAUUGUUCUGCUCAAGAACCUUUAAUGACUCCCUAUUCCACUCAGACUAAAAGCCCAAGUGCUUAAAACAACCCAGAAGGCCACAAUUAUCUAGUCUUCUGUUAACUUCUGUGACUUGACAUCAUUUCCCAUGGCUCUCUAUUCCCACUCCACUGCAGUCACACUGGCCUCCUUGAUGUUCCUCAACCACACCCACCUUAGGGCCUUUAUGUUGACUGGUCCUGGCUGGAAUGUCUUUGCUCUGUCGUCACCGUCUAAAUGAGGCCUUCUCUGUCCACCAUGUUUAAAAUUGCAACCCAUUCCCAUCCCCACUCAGCAUUCCUGCUCACCCUCACCCUGCUACAUAGUUUUCCCUAUCGCCUCUAACGUACUACAGCAGAACCUAAGAAAUCUGGGACCUGUGCAAGGCGGAAACCUGUCAGAGAAGGAAAACUCAAAUAUUUUCAAAUAAAAUGAACGAUAGAAAAGUGGUAAGACUGCACCCUGUCAAAGGCAGAAAACUCCUGAGACCCAGAAAAACAAGGCAAUCCCAUUGAGUUCUGGCUCUUACAUGUUUCACUGUAUGUACUUUUCUAAUUAAAUUUAUUGGGUAGCAUGUAUUUCUCCCUACUAAAAUGUAAGCUCCACAGAGCAGGUUCUUUGUUUUGUCCACUGAUAUAUCCCAAGGGCCUAAAACAGUACAUGACACAUGAUAGGUAUUUAAUACAUAUUUGUUGAAUAAAUGAAUGAAUGAUGGAUUCUCUUUCACAUGGGGCGGUGAUGGGGUCAAAGUAAGAUGAUCCUAAAGUGAAAAAAACCCAGAAUAGUGUCAGAGAACUCCCUUGGUCCCAUUCUGUCUUGAGAGAGGCUUUAUUUUAAUAGGUUAUUUUAGGGAUGAUAAAUGGUUACCAUUUAAAGAGCAUAUGCACUGUACUAAAUUCUUUACAGACAUAUCUCAUUGAAUUUUCUCAACAAUGCUGUAAGGUAGUUAUUGUCUCCAUUUUACAGAUGAGCAAAACCACAACUUGGAAAGCUGGCUUUUCAGAGGUUGUAUGACUAAUAAAUGGCAGAGCCAUAUGCUUCUGUCCAACUCCACAAGGAACUCCACUCCCUAUCCAAGCUGGGAGCUAGGCUGCCUUCUUCCUGAUGUAACUCACAGGCAACACGGUCAAUUACCUUGUCUCAGUUUGCCCCAGUUACUGAAUCUGCUCCCAAUCACCUUGUCUUUAGGGACAGCCACCCAGUUGUUCAGAGCCAUCCGUAGCCCCACCAGGGUCUCCAUCCUUCGAGCUUCAUUUCUCCCCUUCAAAUGGUGGAUGAGAGCCUGGAUCACAUGCUUAUUCAGGCAACCUGGACAGGGAGGAUCCUCAGGUCAAGGCAGAGCUCGGGCUGCUGCUCCUCUGCCAGAAUCCAUUUGACUCCACUGUGCCCUCAAGACAGAAGAAGUUCCAAGUACUAGCUCCCAAGGUGUUGCCCAUCUUCCCAGGACACUGGAGCAGCUGGCUGGACUCUACCACAAUUCCAAGAGCCUUCCUCUCUGCCCAUUCCAAUCUCUUCUUUCCUUUCACCUCACCUUCCUUUCUCUGCCCAGCAGUAAUAGGAUAGUUCCCAGGCUCUGUUAAACUCAAGGUUGUAGUGGGUGUACAUUCCACUCCCUUUUGCCCUUUCGCAAAUGACUUGAGUACUGGCUGCACCUUCUCCUUUCUCAGCUACCCCAGUUCUUCACCCCAGGAGAGAAUGUACUUACCCAGGAGAGCCAGGGAUCGAUAGGCCUCGAACUUCACUUUCUCUGGACCAGUUUUGGCCUGAUUUAGGAGGCAGGUAGUGGAAACAUACCACAGGUGAUAGAAUGUCAGAGGUUUAGGGAUCAUCUCAGCCCACCUUUUUCAUUUUACGAGUGAGGAAACUGAGGCCAAAGAGUGACCUUUCUACACUCAAACAGAGCAGAGGCAGGGUGAUGCAAUGGAAGGAACACUGGAUUUGGGAAUAAGACUUUUGUUCAAAUCCCUGCAUCUGGUAUCUAGUAGCCACGUGGCCUUGGGCAAGUUAUUUGGCCUCUCAAAGCUUUCCUCUUCAUAUUAGAAAAGUGCAGAUGCUAAUUCCUGUCCCUAUUGUUGGUGGAAGAUUUAAAUGAGAUUAUGGAUAAGGAUGCAGGAUCCCAGUUGUGAACUGGCAUAGAAGCAUAUGGCAAUGUUUCAGUUAUUGGUAGAGAGUGAACUCAGCCCUAGUUCUUUCCUGGCUUUCAGUCCAGUCUUUUCUAUUAGACCAAGGAGGUCUUCAGAUUCCCCCUUUCUCAUCCUUUACAUUAAGCUGUUCUUGAAGAAGCCAAGGGCAGGAUAUAGGGGACAUGCUACACACUGGUGGCUCUCUCUGCCCUGGAUCUGACCCAGCAUCCUUGCAGCUUCUGGGGAGCCCUGUCUGCACCCAUGUGCCUAUUCUCUGCACACAUCACACCCUGUUUCCCUCUCCCCUGAACUCCUUGCAGCCCUAGACUCACCACCUCCCAUAAUGCCUCCAUGAUGAAUUUGUCAUUGAUGCCCAGGCACCCCAGAGCCUGCAAGAACAACAGGGGUGGAGGAAAGAAAGAGACCUUGGAUACCACCCCUGGAAUUAUCCUCUGGACACAGCUGGAAUUUGUACAUUAAACCACCUCCACCUCCACCUGCCUCCUCAGCCGCCUCUUUACUCUCCAGCGCAGCCAACUCCUAACUGUAACCAACCCUUACCACGUCUCACCUGAGCUGCGUAAUGUUGCUCAUCCUCUCUGGGAGAUUUCAGACUUUGUGUGAGUUCCUGCCCAUCCCAGGCAGCCAGUGGAAAAGAAGAAAAGGAUAAAUAUAGUACAGAAGUUCAAACAAAGGAACUCAUCCAGUGUAGUCCUUUUUCCUCCCCUCCCUCUACUGGACAGGCAGGGACUGAGGGCUGAAGGAUAGUGUGAGCCCAAGGUAAGAACACUCACAGAGAGGGAGCCUCCCCAUCCCCUUCCCACCAUGGCCCCUGACCUUUAAUCUUUGCCACUUCAGGGGGUCCAAGGUAGGCCCUAAGGCCCUGGUUGUCACCUGAGGUUUUAGAGACAAUUUGUUCAUGGGGAGAUGAAGUUUUUGGAGGUGAAUACUCUCCCUGAAGUGCCUGCAUGAGAAAUUGCACAGACCUUCUUGGUUCCCUUGCUCCUUCCUCCCUAGAUCACAACCCCUCCUUGCCACAGUCUUCAGCCCAGCUCAAGAAUGGGACCGGAGGAAGACAGAGAAGAGUUCAGUGACACCCACCCAAACCAAGGCUCCCUUCCACCCAGGGUCCUCUCUGGGACCUGUAGGCUGACUUGCCCCACUCCCUGUUCUACCCCAUCCUUCUCCUUCCCCUCUUUCCUAGACGGUGUGGAGGAUUUGGGGGCAGGUAGAGCACACCUAGGGAGAUCUCUCAUUUUCCACAGUAUCUUCUGGCCCUCGCGGUCCUCUCGCUGGUCAUAGAGAGUAUGCCAGUGCGAGUAGAUUUCAGGCCUCUGGGAGUAGCAGUAGGGCACCGAGUGUGGCUUGCUUGGGUGCUGCCUCCAGCACUCUGGACUUGGGGGGAACUCUUCCUUUGGCAUCUGGGGGUAUGAGUGGCAGAGAAGUCAGAGUGGGUAUCCCUCAGUAAGGGUCUCCGAGGCCCUUACAUGUGUGUUGGAUCUGGGCUGGAGUCACAGCUUCCUCCUAGCCCACGUGUGACUUGGGAAAGUUACUUCACCCUACCCAGGUCUCAGUCUUCUCAUCUGUAAAAUGGAGCUAAUCAUCCUCGCUCUGUGCCCCUUCCAAGGUUGUUGUGAAGAUCGAAAGAGAUGAAGAUUGUGAAGCCAUUGGUGAGCUGUAAAUGGAUCUGUACAAAGUUUGGUUAGCUGAGGAUCUCAGAGCUCCCUGAAAAGGUCUGUCUUCCUCACUGGACUGCCUAAGAGCAAAGAUUGUCGCUCAUUUACCUCUUUCUUCUGCCCUGUCCAGUGCCCAGCAUAGUGUCCAGCACACAGCAGGCAGCUCACCGUAGCUAGAAAACAUGGACGGCCAAGUCAUCAGACUUAACAUCACCAGGAGGUACUGAGAAAGACACACGUCACCCAUGUGGUAUUCCUGCCAAACCUGUUGAACCUAAAUCUAAAUAUGAGGAAACAAACGGGCAAAUCCAUAUUGAGAGACGUUCCACAAAAAACCUGGUCUGCACGGCUACCAUGGCCUCCACCAGAAUGAGUCCAGCACAACUAGAUGGUGCCCGGCUACCACCACUGCCUGCUCUGACAGGGAUCACAAUAGAGGGUCCCAGACAGAGCUGGAGAAAAAUGUAGAACAAAAUUUUAACCCAAAAAGGAAGACCAGACUUACUGGCCUGACAGAGACUGGAGAAACCCUGAGAGUAUGGGACCCAGACACCCUUUCAGCUCAGUAGUGAAGUCACUCCUGAGGUUCACCCUUCAGCCAAAGAUUGGACAGGCCCAUAAAACAAAAUGAGACUAAAGGGGCACACCAGCCCUGGGGCAAGGACUAGAAGGCAGGAAGGGACAGGAAAGCUGGUAAUAGGGAACCCAAGUUUGAGAAAGGAAAGUAUUGACAUGCCGUGGGGUUGUUAACCAAUGUCCUAAAACCGUAUGUGUACUGUUUAAUGAAAAACUAGUUUGUUUUGUAAACCUUAAUCUGAAGUACAAUAAAAAAAAAAAAAAAAUCUGGUCUGAAUGCUGAAAAAAUAUCAA